CACAGAGAGUUGGUUGGACU
rnacentral:miRNA from 1 species